rnacentral:lncRNA from 1 species
ACAGGUUUAAAUUAGUUUCAAACAAUGAUCACGGCCUCACGGGUAAUAAUUAACGGUGAUAAACCUAUCAUGCAAAGAAAAGAAUCCUUGACAAACACACAUAAAAUCAGAAUGAUUUAAUCUCAAAUUAACUGAUCAAUAUAUAUUUAUAUAUGUAUGUAUUCAACCCUGAAAAGUAACCGAUAUUACAUCAGUUCAAUAAAAACCCUAAUUCUAAACAACUCCUAAUAAGAAUCCACGACUCCUGAGUCCUGAUAAUAAUAUGUCUCUAAACAAUACUAAUCAAUUAAUAACUAAUUCACAGAUUCGCAAUCACAAUCAGGUAUUCCAAAAAGCCUAUUGUGCACCACCGUCAAACCAUCCCACACCAGCACCACCCCAACUAGAAAUAAAAAACCAACAAUCAGAAUUGAAAUUCACAACAAAUCAUACAUAAAUACUCACAAAUACAUACAUAUAAUGAUAUAAAUAUAUAUAGAGAGAGAGAGUCAGAGAGGGAAGGAAAGGAACCUUACCUACGUAAACAACUAGAGUGACGCGAGAGGGGGUGGGGAAAAGAUAAGGGAGGUAGUUAAUGGCACAAGCAAGGAAGAUGCCUCUGAUUAGUGUACCAACAGUAUUGAUUAUCGUCAACUGCAUUAGACUCCACCGACGUUGCUCAAUUUUUUCUGCCAUUUUUAGCUCCCAAAAUGCUCAGAACAACUGAAGAUGAAACUUGCUGUGCAGUAGGUGUAUAAUAUUAUAUACCUCGAGAUUGAUGCGGGUUGACUUGAAUUGAACGAUCCGUUUAAGUACAACAUCCACUAGCCCGAUUUGGUUGUACUUCAUGUGUCCAC